UACAGAGGUCCCAAGCGUUGUUCGGAUUCAUUGGGCGUAAAGGGUGCGUAGGCGGCGCGGUAAGUCGGGUGUGAAAUCUCGGGGCUUAACUCCGAAACUGCAUUCGAUACUGCCGUGCUUGAGGACUGGAGAGGAGACUGGAAUUUACGGUGUAGCGGUGAAAUGCGUAGAUAUCGUAAGGAAGACCAGUGGCGAAGGCGGGUCUCUGGACAGUUACUGACGCUGAGGCACGAAGGCCAGGGGAGCAAACGGG
rnacentral:rRNA from 1 species